CGCCACUGCACUCCAGCCUGGGUGACACGGUGAGACUCUGUCUCAAGAAAAAAAAAAAAGAAAAAGAUUUUGCAAGUCAUCAUCCUAUAUUCUGUGCAAAGCGUAGUCUUUCCCAAGAUCCUGAGAAUUCCUGGGAGCUUAUAUUCUGAUCACCUCUCACUCUUAAUUCCUGCUGCUAUUGCAUUCUUGUGACUGUGACUGAGUUGUUUUGCUCCAGACUCUGAUGCUGCCCUUGCUGCCUCAUUCCCCAAAGCACCAGGCGCAAGCAUGUGCAUGUAACAGACUUUCCUUCAAGAGUUGAGGGUAAAAAAGUGAGUUAUAGCACAAUACAGAGCCGAAAAGCAGGGCAGGAAUCAUUACCUGCUUUGUACAAAGAGAAAACAAAAGCUUAGAUAUUAACCAGGUGACUUGACUAAAGCUAUACAGCAAGUUGGUGAAAGAACUAGGCCUGGAAUGAGCUCUCCUGAUCCAGACUCUAGAAUCAGCAUUUCACAGUUCUGAACUUCUGGAAUCCAAAGAGCUGUCCAGGUUUAGGUUAAGAACAGUUCCAUACACACAGAAAGACGGUCCUGGGUGGCGGGCAGUGAAAGAAACCUGGGGAGCUGGGGAUCUCCAUGAGCGUGGCUCACCUCCCCCUCUGUCUCCUGGAGCUGACCCUUGCUCAUAUCCCGUGGGAACAAGACCCAGGUGAAUCAAACCUUUACUGAGGCCCUGCUCAAGACAGGCACAGUAGUGCAGUGGGUUUAAUCUUCACUAUGGUUCUGCAAGGCUGGCAUCAUUAUUCCCCAUUUUAGUUGAGAAAACAGUUUCCAAGAGUGGAAGUGACUUGCUCAAGGUCAUACAGAUAGUCAGGCCAGGCGAGCCUGAGGACUCCUAGUCCCAGGCUCUGCUACAAGCUCCAUGGCAUUGCCAAAAUUGACCACCAGGUGGCAAUCUCCCCCAACUUCCUGCAGGCUCAGGCACCCUGGAAUUUUAAGCAGUAAUGCCUGUGGUUGGUGGCAGAACAGCAGACUGCCUGGAAACUCUUUUGUCAGUUUUGAAACUCUUUUGUCCCCAGGGGGAAAUUGAUGCCCGAGAGGGAUGGUGGCUUUACAAGUGAAGAAGUUCUAUGUGUGUGUGCAUGUGAGCAUGGGAUCUGCUUCUGGUUCCAAGGCUGAUGGACUCUGCCGACCUGUUGUUAGCUGGGAGUUGGUGGGCAUGACUUUCCUGGCACAAUGUUCAGUUUCUCCUCUGUGCCUGCUGUUGCCAAGCCCCACUCAGAGAUGGGCAGCUGAGUUUUCCUUGGACUCCAUCAGAGGCCCACGGUUCAGCCUCUUGUUUAGGUGGGGUCAGGCUUACCUGGUCUGAGGCCAUCUGAACAGCCCUGUGAAUCCUUCCCCUAUUUUAAUCUGUGUGCUUCUUUGCAUGGAGCCAUGGAAACUCCUGUCAUCUUCCAUGCCUGCCUACAGCCAGGAAACACUGGGAGAGAGUCCUGUGCAUUCUUCCUGCAGAACUCACCAUGUUCCCUUAAGGCUUUGCUGGACGGACCAGACCGUCUCAGCAGGUUUCCUGCCACUGGAUACUCAUUUACCUCUGUGCUGCUCAGUGGCAGCCCCAUGGUGGGCCUGUGAGUUCUCGGUGCAGCAAGCUUUCUGCCCAGAUGCCAGGUGAGGCUCCCUUUCUGGCAGGCACGCCCAGCUUCUGUGCAGGGCUUGGGCACACUCUCCAUUCCCCAUCAUGGCAGUGACUCUCAGCACAAACACCACACUGUUUACAAGGCCACCCCGACUUCUCCCCUCUUCCCUCCUAUGUCCUCUCUUUGAGUGUGUGUGCACGUGUACGCUCCUUCAUAUCUCUCUUUACAGAGUGUGGUCUUAGAGCCUCUUGUCCUCAGCUUUGGGCCUUCACUGCAAUUCCACAAAUCCAGAACUCAAGGAAAGUCCUGCUCUACAUCCUGUCAAGUAAAGGUGAAGAAAUUGAAGGUCAGAGAAUUGACUUGGCCGAGGUCACACAGUCUUCUGAUCUUUGGUCUACAGCCCAAGAGGGGAAGGGAGGAGCAGGUGCUUGGGAGAUGAUAGGGGAGGGAGGCAGCUGCCACUGAAAAAUGAAAGAAGAUGGGGAAGAUAGGAGGUGGGGGCAGGAUUCCAUGUCAGAAAGGCAAAUGACCUGAGUCCCAAUGUCCUAUGCACUGUAAUGGCCAUGAAAAUAGCUGCAGAUUUGCCUGCAUUUGUGUGACCAAGAUUUAUUGUGCCCGCAACUCUGGUAAUUGGAUGAUGAAAGCACUGCAGCUAGGACUGUUGGCUGGAGAUUAAUUAUUAGAGAAAGGAGGUAGGAUGGGGAGUAGCCUGGAUGGUGCCCAGCUGUAGAGAGACUGGAACCCACUAGAAGAGCAGGCAGGCAGACCUCAGACAUCUAGUGGACCCCCUCCCCACUCAGCUAAGAUCCAGGGAGGGAGGCAACUGGACUGGGCCAAGGCCACAACCAUUCUAUAGCAAGGCAGGCUGAGAGCUCUUCUCUGAGUGAAGCUGAUUUUCCAGAAAAGACGGGCAGCUACAGCAGCAGGAAGGGCCUGCACUUGGAGUCUGAGACCAGAGGGGAAGCCUCAGCUUUGUCUCUUACUGGCUAUGUGACCUUAGGAAGGUGACUUAGCCUCUUCAAACCUCAGUUUUCCCAGCUGUACAAUGGAGAUGAUGGCGUUGACUUUCCUAGGAAGUCAUGAGGCUCCAAGGAGAUUAUUGGGUCCUAUUUAGAUCUAGGAUCCACUCAGAGACAACUUUCAUUCUUACCCCCUCUGCUCAGGUCUGGCCCUUGUCCUUCCUGCCUGGGUCCUGUGAAUCCCUUCCCUGCUUUCUCAUCAAGCCCUAAAACCUGAUCCUUAGCCACUGUGGGGACUUCCUGCGUGAAUGUCAAGUCCCAAGUAGGAACCUAAAAGGGACUGGGAGAUGGGGGACAGGGGUGGAUCCCAAGAAGAAGUCAUUUUCCCUCUCAGCCUUAGUUUUCUCAUCUGCAAAAUGGGAAUAGGCUUUAUUUGGAUUUAUUCCAUUGCAAAGAACAGCAAACCACUUGAGCCCAACCAAGUGGGUUGGGGAAGGAGCCAACUUUGGGGACCGGAACUGGAACCUGCACAUUGGAAGGAAUACAGGUCACUUGGGGGCUAGCUUCUCCUCCAUUUCUUUGUCAAUGGGUCUCUGUUGCUAUCUGCUCACCUUCCACUACUCAUAGGUGUAUUCUUUUCCUCUCUCCUGUCUGUCUCACAGCUUCUGCUUCCUCAAAAUCUCUGUUCUAGCACAACUUUUUCUUACAUGUGACUGCUUAUGGCUACAACUCAACUCCACAGUUUGUUCCUCUGGGCUCCUUUGUAGAAACUAGCAGUUUCUCCCCAUCCUGCUCAGUUCACAUGCAUGAUAGAGGGAGUCUAAUUGGCCCUCUGAUUCUUCCUGCCCAACCUUGCCAGAGAUUUGUAGACUGGUUUAUGGUCUGCAAGGCCCUCAUAGAUUUGUGGGAGUGACAGGCCCUGGAUGGGCAGCAGGGAGGGGUUGAAGUUGGAUUACCUCAUGUAUAUAAAGUGCUACAACAGUGCCUGGCAUACUAUAGGACUCAGAAAACUCUGAUUGAAUGAAACUCAGAAAUCUUCCUCUCCCACCAUAGACCCUUCUCCCGACCCCUCCCCUUUCCCUCACCUUUGCAGAGGCCUCCAGCCUUGGAUACCUCUUAUUCCUGCAGAUUUUCUUGGCCUCCCUUCCUUCCCUGGCCAGCCUGGACUUGGGGUAGGGUGAUCCUCCUGCCCCAAUCCUCUACAGCACCCUGCUCUUCAAAAAACUUUGCACUUAAAUCUCCCAACCUCAGCUCUGCUCUCCCCAUCAGCAGACUCCCUGCCAAGGUCUGUGUCACUGGGAAGGGAGUAGGAGAGCUUUAUAAGUAGCUAUCAUUCACUGAGCACCUCUAAGUACCUGUCCCCAUGCUCAGUGCUUUACCCAUUUAUGUUAAGAACUCUUUGCAAUCUUCCCUUGAGAUGGAGUUUUUCCAGAUGAGAAAACUGAGAUUGAGCAUGGUGAAGUGAUGUGAACCCAGCUCUAACUCCAAAUCCUUCGCUCAAGAGCAAAGCUGUUGGUGUGAACUCUAUCAUCAUUUCUCCUUUCCAAAUGGAGUUUCCACAGGCCACACCAAUAUUUUCCCCUUUUUUUCUGGCUUUACAAAAUGAAUUAGCUAACAGCUGAUUUUUAUUACCACUAACAGAUAAUUUUUGUUAAGAACUUAACAUGUGUUAGGUGCUGUUCUGAGCACUUUAUCUGUAUCAACUUAUUCAAUCUUUAUAACAACUCUAUAGGAUAGACACUAUCAGGAUCGCUGUUUUGCAAAUCUCUGCCUUAGCUUAAGGAAGGACCAAACUCACAUGGUCCUGGUGGAGCCAGGAUUCAAAGCCUCACUCCAGUUCAAGGCCUGGGAGCCCAUUUUCUGCCUACUUCCUCUAGGAACUGCUUCCAUCAAUCCCUCCCUCACCUCUUUAAGCUACCUCUCUCCCCUGGCUCCUUAGCAUUCAACGUGUUUAUAACUUUCCCAUCUCAAAAGUGUCCUCAAACCCAUGUUACUCUGCAGUCACUAUUCUUUCCUUCCUCUCUGUCAUAGCCCAAUUUCUUGAGUUUCUCUACUUGCUAGCUAUUCUUCCUUACCCCUCUUCACACCAGCCUCCACUCCCCCGCCCCCUCUACCUAAACUGCCCUAAGCUUAGGAAGAUUGUGCCGCCACAUUUCCGAAGGAAAAAAAUACUCCCUUCAAUAGCCUAAAAAUACUGUCAAUCAAACUUGAAAUCAGCUUUGUAAAUUGUAAGACAUGUCACAGCUCUAGUAGUUCUGAAACAAAUUUUUUAUCAAGAUUAAAAGAUGAGCAAAGAUAAAUACUGAAUACUUUGGUAUAACUCAAUUGGUGAUGACACCUCAGUUGAGCCUUCUCUAUGCAGCUGGAGUUUUGCUUUUCUGCUCAAAUGCCCUCUAAUGUUAUGCCAAGGUAUCAUUCAAGUAUAAAGACAACAGCUAAAGUGUCCUUAAAGGCAACAGACCAAUACCUGCACUGUUCUGUUUCGCUUCGUCCACACAGUUUUUAUUCUUCUUCACCCAUUUAACAUUUCGGCCAUGGUGGACUGUGAGUUCUUUAUUGGUAACUAAAAUUAUUUGUAAACAGUAUUAAAAUAAAUCUCCUUUUUACCUUC